CGCAUGGUGGCUUAGUGGUUAUUAGCACGUUCGCCUCACACCUCCAGGGUCCGGGUUCGAUUCCCGAGGGCCAUGUGU